CCUACGGGCGGCAGCAGUGGGGAAUUUUGGACAAUGGGCGCAAGCCUGAUCCAGCCAUUCCGCGUGAGUGAAGAAGGCCUUCGGGUUGUAAAGCUCUUUCGCAAGGGAAGAAAACUUAUCCUCUAACAUAGGAUGAGGUUGACGGUACCUUGAUAAGAAGCACCGGCUAACCACGUGCCAGCAGCCGCGGUAAUACGUAGGGGGCGAGCGGGAAUCGAAAUUAGCGGAGGUAAAGCGUGCGCACAGUGUUGAAAUCCCCGAGCUCAACUUGGGAACUGCGUUGGAAACUACAAGACUAGAAUAGGUCAGAGGGGGGUAGAAUUCCACGUGUAGCAGUGAAAUGCGUAGAGAUGUGGAGGAAUAUCAAUGGCGAAGGCAGCCCCCUGGGAUCAUAUUGACGCUCAUGCACGAAAGCGUGGGGAGCAAACAGGAUUAGAUACCCCAGUAGUC
rnacentral:rRNA from 1 species